CCUCCCUGCUCACCUACCAUCUACCUAUAAGAUCAACUUCCCUCCUCUAGUUGACUCAAUCACAAAAGACCUACAUAGAUGGCACAAACCAGGCUUUGGGUUAAUGUCCCGGGUAAACAUACUCAAAAUGAACAUUCUCCCCCGUAUCCUCUACCUCCUUCAAACGAUUCCACUCAAACUCCCAGCUAAACUCUUCCUCUCUCUUAAGUCACUAUUUUUGAAAUUUAUUUGGGCCCACAAACCCCCACGCCUAGCAUACCAUACAUUAACUAAAAAACAGGAUCAAGGGGGUCUAAACCUUCC